rnacentral:rRNA from 1 species
UACGAAGGGGGCUAGCGUUGUUCGGAAUCACUGGGCGUAAAGGGCGCGUAGGCGGCUGUUCAAGUCGGGGGUGAAAUCCUGUGGCUCAACCACAGAAUGGCCUUCGAUACUGGACGGCUAGAGACCGGAAGAGGUGAGUGGAACUGCGAGUGUAGAGGUGAAAUUCGUAGAUAUUCGGGAGGAACACCAGUGGCGAAGGCGGCUCACUGGUCCAUUACUGACGCUGAGGUGCGAAAGCGUGGGGAGCAACAGG